rnacentral:rRNA from 1 species
UACAGAGGGGGCAAGCGUUGUUCGGAAUUACUGGGCGUAAAGGGCUCGUAGGCGGCCAACUAAGUCAGACGUGAAAUCCCCAGGCUUAACCUGGGAACUGCGUCUGAUACUGGAUGGCUUGAAUUCGGGAGAGGGAUGCAGAAUUCCAGGUGUAGCGGUGAAAUGCGUAGAUAUCUGGAGGAAUACCGGUGGCGAAGGCGGCAUCCUGGACCGACAUUGACGCUGAUGAGCGAAAGCUAGGGGAGCAAACGGG